rnacentral:rRNA from 1 species
UACGAAGGGGGCUAGCGUUGCUCGGAAUUACUGGGCGUAAAGCGCGCGUAGGCGGAUCGUUAAGUCGGGGGUGAAAUCCUGGAGCUCAACUCCAGAACUGCCUUUGAUACUGGCGAUCUUGAGUCCGGGAGAGGUGAGUGGAACUCCGAGUGUAGAGGUGAAAUUCGUAGAUAUUCGCAAGAACACCAGUGGCGAAGGCGGCUCACUGGCCCGAUACUGACGCUGAGGCACGAAAGCGUGGGGAGCAAACAGG